rnacentral:rRNA from 1 species
UGCGCAGGCGGUUCUAUAAGACAGAUGUGAAAUCCCCGGGCUCAACCUGGGAAUGGCAUUUGUGACUGUAGAGCUAGAGUACGGUAGAGGGGGAUGGAAUUCCGCGUGUAGCAGUGAAAUGCGUAGAUAUGCGGAGGAACACCGAUGGCGAAGGCAAUCCCCUGGACCUGUACUGACGCUCAUGCACGAAAGCGUGGGGAGCAAACAGGAUUAGAUACCCUGGUAGUCCACGCCCUAAACGAUGUCAACUGGUUGUUGGGUGCAUUAGUACUCAGUAACGAAGCUAACGCGUGAAGUUGACCGCCUGGGGAGUACGGCCGCAAGGUUGAA